rnacentral:ncRNA from 1 species
UCUUGCAUUUAUUUUUAUUGAAACAUCAUAUUUAUAUGUAAAUUUUUGUAUAUAAACUUUUUUUAUAGGAAUUUAUAUAAAUUAGCAGUAGGUGAUAUUAAAAAUUGAGGAAAUUUAGAUUUAGUGAAUGUUAAGAGGAUUGGAUAAAUUUGUGCCAGCAUCCGCGGUUAUACAUAAAAUUCGAGUAAAAAUUAUUGGUUUUGGAAUAAUAACUAUAUAAUAAUUAACAAAAUUGGAAUUUUAGUAGUGAAAUAUAUAUAAUUUUAAAUAAUGUAAAUGUUUAGUAGGAUAUUAUGAGAUUAAAAAUAUAAACUAGGAUUAGAUACCCUACUAUUUUUAAUAUAAAUUUUCAAGCUAGAGUAUUAGUAGAUAUGAUCUUUAAACUUAAAGAAUUUGGCGGUAUUAUAAUUCUAUUUAGAGGAAUCUGUUAAGUAAUCGAUAAUCCACGUUGAACCUUACUUAUAUUAAUUCUUGUAUACCACUGUUAAGAAUAUAUUAUAAGAUUAUAUUCAUGUAAAAUUAUUAUUUAAAAUUUCAAGUCAAGGUGCAGUAAUAUAUAAGAUAACUAAUGGAUUACAAUAGAUUGUAUUUAUUACGAAUAAUAAAUGAAAUUAUAAAUUUGAAGGUGGAUUUAAUUGUAAAAUUUGAAAGAUUAUAAAUUUGAUAAAAGCUCUAUAAUAUGUACACAUCGCCCGUCACUCUCAUUAUAAGAUGAGAUAAGUCGUAACAGAGUAGGUGUAUCGGAAGAUGUGCCUAGAAGGAAAAUUUAAUAAGUAAAUU